rnacentral:rRNA from 1 species
CAGUAGCCGCGGUAAGACGAACCGUGCGAACGUUAUUCGGAAUCACUGGGCUUAAAGCGCGUGUAGGCGGAUGGGAGCGUCGGCCUCUGAAAUCCCCCGGCUCAACCGGGGAAGUGGAGCCGAAACGACCCGUCUGGAGGGACGUAGGGGGACCUGGAACUUCCGGUGGAGCGGUGAAAUGCGUUGAGAUCGGAAGGAACGCCCGUGGCGAAAGCGAGGUCCUGGACGUCUGCUGACGCUGAGACGCGAAAGCCAGGGGAGCGAACGGGAUUAGAUACCCGGGUAGUCCCUGUCUCUUAUU